rnacentral:rRNA from 1 species
GAUGAACGCUGGCGGCGUGCCUAAUACAUGCAAGUCGAGCGAACAGACGAGGAGCUUGCUCCUCUGACGUUAGCGGCGGACGGGUGAGUAACACGUGUAUAACCUACCUAUCAUACUGGUAUAACUUCGGGAAACCGGAGCUAAUACCGGAUAAUAUAUUGAACCGCAUGGUUCAAUAGUGAAAGACGGUUUUGCUGUCACUUAUAGAUGGAUCCGCGCCGCAUUAGAUAGUUGGUAAGGUAACGGCUUACCAAGGCAACGAUGCGUAGCCGAACUAAGAGGGUGAUAGGCCACACUGGAACUGAGACACGGUCCAGACGACUACGGGAGGCAGCAGUAGGGAAUCUUACGCAAUGGGCGAAAGCAUGACGGAGCAACGCCGAGUGAGUGAUGAAGGUGUUCGGAUCGUAAAACUCUGUUAUUAGGGAAGAACAAAUGUGUAAGUAACUAUGGACGUCUUGACGGUAACUAAUCAGAAAGCAACGGCUAACUACGUG